rnacentral:rRNA from 1 species
CCUACGGGAGGCAGCAGUGAGGAAUAUUGGUCAAUGGGAGAGAUCCUGAACCAGCCAAGCCGCGUGAGGGAAGACGGCCCUAUGGGUUGUAAACCUCUUUUGUCGGAGAACAAAACCCGGGACGUGUCCCGGACUGCGUGUAUCCGAAGAAAAAGCAUCGGCUAACUCCGUGCCAGCAGCCGCGGAAAUACGGGGGAUGCGAGCGUUAUCCGGAUUUAUUGGGGUUAAAGGGUGCGUAGGCGGUCCGUUAAGUCAGCGGUAAAAUUGAGGGGCUCAACCCCGUCGAGCCGUUGAAACUGGCAGACUGGAGUUGGCGAGAGGUACGCGGAAUGCGCGGUGUAGCGGUGAAAUGCAUAGAUAUCGCGCAGAACUCCGAUGGCGAAGGCAGCGUACCGGCGCCAGACUGACGCUGAGGCACGAAAGCGUGGGGAUCGAACAGGAUUAGAUACCCCUGUAGUC